UUCCCGGUGUAGCGGUGAAAUGCGUAGAGAUCGGGAGGAAUACCAGUGGCGAAGGCGGCUCUCUGGACUGACACUGACACUGAGGUGCGAAAGCGUGGGUAGCAAACAGGAUUAGAUACCCUGGUAGUCCACGCCGUAAACGAUGUCGACCAGCCGUUGGGUGCCUAGCGCACUUUGUGGCGAAGUUAACGCGAUAAGUCGACCGCCUGGGGAGUACGGCCGCAAGGUUAAAACUCAAAUGAAUUGACGGGGGCCCGCACAAGCGGUGGAGCAUGUGGUUUAAUUCGAUGCAACGCGAAGAACCUUACCUACUCUUGACAUCCUGCGAAUUUGGUAGAGAUACCUUAGUGCCUUCGGGAACGCAGAGACAGGUGCUGCAUGGCUGUCGUCAGCUCGUGUUGUGAAAUGUUGGGUUAAGUCCCGUAACGAGCGCAACCCUUGUCCUUAUUUGCCAGCGCGUAAUGGCGGGAACUCUAAGGAGACUGCCGGUGACAAACCGGAGGAAGGUGGGGACGACGUCAAGUCAUCAUGGCCCUUACGAGUAGGGCUACACACGUGCUACAAUGGUCGGUACAAAGGGUUGCCAACUCGCGAGAGUGAGCCAAUCCCGAAAAGCCGAUCUCAGUCCGGAUCGGAGUCUGCAACUCGACUCCGUGAAGUCGGAAUCGCUAGUAAUCGUGGAUCAGAAUGCCACGGUGAAUACGUUCCCGGGCCUUGUACACACCGCCCG
rnacentral:rRNA from 1 species